AUUGAACGCUGGCGGCAGGCCUAACACAUGCAAGUCGAGCGGAGCGGCGGACGGGUGAGUAAUGCCUAGGAAUCUGCCUGGUAGUGGGGGAUAACGUCCGGAAACGGGCGCUAAUACCGCAUACUAUCAGAUGAGCCUAGGUCGGAUUAGCUAGUUGGUGGGGUAAAGGCCUACCAAGGCGACGAUCCGUAACUGGUCUGAGAGGAUGAUCAGUCACAUUGGAACUGAGACAGGGUCCAGACGCCUACGGGAGGCAGCAGGGGGGAAUAUUGGACAAUGGGUGAGAGACUGAUCCAGCCAUGCCGCGUGUGUGAAGAAGGCCUUAGGGUUGUAAAGUACUUUCAGCGGGGAGGCGUUACCCGCAGAAGAAGCACCGGCUAACUCCGUGCCAGCCGCCGCGGUAAUUC
rnacentral:rRNA from 1 species